AACGAACGCUGGCGGCAUGCCUAACACAUGCAAGUCGAACGAGACCUUCGGGUCUAGUGGCGAACGGGUGCGUAACGCGUGGGAACCUGCCCUUAGGUUCGGAAUAACUCCCCGAAAGGGGUGCUAAUACCGGAUAAUGUCUUCGGACCAAAGAUUUAUCGCCUUUGGAUGGGCCCGCGUUGGAUUAGCUAGUUGGUAGGGUAAAAGCCUACCAAGGCGACGAUCCAUAGCUGGUCUGAGAGGAUGAUCAGCCACACUGGGACUGAGACACGGCCCAGACUGCUACGGGAGGCAGCAGUGGGGAAUAUUGGACAAGGGGCGAAAGCCUGAUCCAGCAAUGCCGCGUGAGUGAGGAAGGCCUUAGGGUUGUAAAGCUCUUUUACCCGGGAUGAUAAUGACAGUACCGGGAGAAUAAGCUCCGGCUAACUCCGUG
rnacentral:rRNA from 1 species